rnacentral:tRNA from 1 species
AAGGGUAUAGCUCAGUGGUAGAGUGUGUGCUUAGCAUGCACGAAGCCCUGGGUUCAAUUCUCAGUACCUCUA